ACAAGCUGAGAAACGGCUAGUAGGACUAAGGUCUGCAGCAGGCGCGAAACUUACACAAUGGGAGCACAUCCCUGAUGUAGUGAAGGAAAAUAACGAUGUAUCUUGCAUUACUGCAUGAUACAAUUGGAAUGAGACGACUGUAAAUAUGUUAGUCGAGUAACAAAUGGAGGGCAAGUCUGGUGCCAGCAGCCGCGGUAAUUCCAGCUCCAUUAGCGUAUAUUAAAGUUGUUGCGGUUAAAACGCUCGUAGUUGAAAUUAACUUGGUUUUUCAUCACUCGCUUCCAUUAAAGGCAGCAUUGGAUUCGUCUUUUGCUUGCCUGGUUGCCGUAGUGCACGUAAAGCCAAUGUUUCGCCACUUUAAACGAGUGCGAAGCGGGGUGUUAUAACAUAAACGGUAUUAAAACUUCGGUUUUUACCAGCUAUAGCACCAAGUUUACCUUGAGAAAAUUAGAGUGCUCACAGCAGGCAGUUGGGGCUUAACCGUCCUUUAAUGCUUGAAUAAUGUUGCAUGGAAUAAUAGAAUAUGGCCUCGGUUCUAUUCUGUUGGUCUUAUAGAACAACAAAAAAGUUGGUAAUUGCACCAAAGUUUCUUCGUGCGUUGGUUCUGCUUUAGUUAGCGCGUUUGUGUUGCCUAAAUGUUCAAAAGUUUAGUGCCGCGACGUUUGUUUCUAGCUGAGUGUUCCAUUAAAGGCGCGCGUUGUUUACGAGCAACCACCAACUGAGGCAAUGGUUAAAAGAAAUAGUCGCGGCGGCAUCAGUACUGCAUCGCUAGAG
rnacentral:rRNA from 1 species